GCUGGUCUGAGCUUGCUGUCGACGGCUGCCAUGAACUGCGGUCCAGCCAUGCCCGCCUGCCUUGGAGCCAACUGAGUGUGGACUGAAACCUCCAAAAACUUACCAUGGCCCCAUCUGGGGAAGAACAGCCAAGGAUGGGUGAGCUCUAAAGGUCCUGGAGUGAGAUCCUCUAAGGAAGCAUGGUCUGGUCGUGCAGAAGCACAACAGCAAGCACGAUAUAUUCACAUGUGCAUCGUGUCAGUUUCCCUCACAGAGGCCAGAAGCUAGCAAAACUCAAGCACCACUGCUAACUGCAGGAGUGGAUUUCAGGUCUGAAACUGAUCAAGAAGCUAUGUAGCUUAGCAGCUCAUCACUUACUGUCUAGGACAAAGUGACUGGGGAUUAGCAGAAGAAAGCCCACCUUUGGAGCGGGGAUGUCAUCAGGGUAGCAGAGAACAAGUGAUGAAAGACAGGCCUCUUGAGUACCUGGAGAAGGGCCAGGUAUCAAGGGAUGGCAGCUUUGAAAGCCUUAGCCACUGCUGUCCAUGAACAGACUUAGUAUGGAGGCACCUUGAAGAAGCCUGCUGGUCCUUUUUCCUCGGAAGCCCUUUUGGGUUGAGAUGGAGCUGCGAGGCGGCAGAAGACAGGACUGUGGUUCCUCACCAUCCCUGCCUCAUCAUCAGGUGCUCCUCCUCUGAAAUCAUAUAUUGGCCAAGACACUUGUUGAUAUGUAUGCAUUGCAGGCUGUAUUUCACCUUGGUUGGAAUCAGUUGAGAAACCCUUUGUUUGCCUCAGUGUGAUCUUGCUUAAAAGCUUCCCAAACUCUGGCAGGAGAAGUUUAGACUCUAUUGCUAGCUAAGUGACACUAAAGCCAAUUUAGGCCUUUACAGGUACUUGCUACCUCUGGUAGACAGGGAUUAAGUGGAGAGAUAUGUAAAAUUCCCACCUUAAUGUUUGGUUGCACUCAGAACUGAGAUACAGCAUUGAACUAAAUUGAAGAUGAGGCAAAAUUCCUGUCCUCCUGCCUCCAGGCUCCUUAACAGAAUUUGCUUGCUGAUUUUCCCCAGUGCUGCCCUCUGCCCUCACCUGGUCCCUGUCACACACUUCACGGCAGUACAGUAUAGCUCUCUGAGGGUGCUGCUGAUUCUUGUCACUUCGAUAAAUCUGAUCACUCUGCUCACUGAAUGCAUUGCAGCAUACCUUGUGGCCUGCCCAAGAUGCUCCUAAAUGUAGAAGCUGCUAUUCAUCCCAUCUAACUCUUUCUUCAGACUCAGUAUAAAAGCAAUGAGUGAGAGGUUAUUGUACAGCCUUUAUGAUAAAUUGCAGAUGGCUUUAAUGAUAAUAAAAAUGACAAAAGCAUAAUGAAUAUCCAUUAGGAAAUCUGCUUUUGAUUUAGAUGCCUUCCCUUAUUAUUUCAUUUAAUCCUUAUUGUAAUCCUCUUGAACCCUUAAGACCACAUUCAUUUACCAAAUCUUUACCAACAUGAGAGCCAAUCAUCCUGCUCUUCUCAUGAAUAUUCAUCUUGUAGGAUUCUCAAUAUUUAUUUCUGUAGUGCAGUCAUUUAUUUGUUUAGAGUCAUCUAAGGAACCACAAAAAACAAUACAUCUCAUUCCCAGAUAAUUGCAACCGGUUAUCUUUUAACAUCAAUCAACAUCCCAUAGCAUACUGGACAAUUUAUUAAUAUUUUAUAAGUAAUAAAAUUAUUUUAUUUUGGGAAAGGCCUCAAAGCUUCCUAGUUUUUCUAAGAUUCCUGGGUUUCUCUGUGACUUUCUGAGGCCAAGCUAGGCUCAGCAGCAAAGGUGGCAGAAGGUCAUGAAGAGUUUCCCUUGGGUGAAAACUCUAAAACCUACCUGGGCCUGAUCUCCUGGAGUUUAGUCUCUGUCCUUGAAGACAAGCAGUAGGAGAACCUCUGAUGUGAUUAUACUCAUGUGGCACUAAUCACAAGAGUGGUUACAACAUUCAGGUGCAUUUAUGUGA